rnacentral:lncRNA from 1 species
GAGUCAGAAUCAGGAGUCGGUUGAAUUGUCCCAACAGUUGUCCUCCACUCUCAAGUCCAAAGUAAUUUGACGUGCAUGUCAUCACGUGGUCUAUCACAUUAGACGAAGGGAGUUGUCACGUACUGUUUCGAGCUCCGAUUCGACUACAGGCAUUAAUGAUUUUUUGAAAUACGAGAGGUCUCUAGCUAUUUUAUUAUUUUGAUAACUGUGAGAUCAUCAUUAAGAUGCCGUUUCGGGA